UAGAUGGGAAAUUUCAUCUAAAUUAUGCCCUUGAGUACCCCUGAACUCCGUCCACGAUUUAAGAGCUGUUAAGCCAGCAGCUCUUUUAGACGACUGUGAUGUAGACGAAGUAGGGGUUGGAAUAUUUCUAAAAAAUCUAAAAGAAUUUUAACGUUAGUCCAAUCUUGUGUAGUUAGCAUGUCAUUAUCUUCCUCACCACAAUCCCGAGAAUUAUACGUAGCUUUAAUUGGGUUUCUAUAUUCGUACGCUACUACU
rnacentral:lncRNA from 1 species